UCCUUCAGUCACUCAUGUCUGGACUCUGAACUCUUAUGGCCUCCUCUAACCUCUAUUUUCUUCUCUCUGUGAUCGCAUUUCAUAUUUUCUUCGCUAGUCCCCCACGGCCAGCUGCCUACCGUUUACAAACUCCUUUUUCUUUUUCGAAUGAGACCCCUUUGUCAAAUCCCACGUACAUAAACAAAGCCUUGCUCUUCUCAUUCCUUUGUAAAACUAUUUGCCAUCAAAUAUCUCUCUCGAUUCUUUCGUAUCGAAUUCCUACUCCUUGUAUCAGUCGAACAAAUUUGCAGUUUCUUUCUUACUCGCUAUUUCUUAGAUCGGAUUUUCAUGGUGGCUGGUCUUGAGCGGCUCGCGCUGACGUCUCUUGGAAAGGUUUUCGAUCAAUUCCCUUGUGCUCUAGAACCCCACCCCUUUCACUAAUUUGUUUCGAGGAUUACUCUUUUGGGUUUGUUCAUUUAUGGUUUGUUUUGGGUGCCUUGAAAGAAGUGCCAGAACACAAAGUGUGAGAAAACUUGGAGCUUGUCUGAAUUCGAAGUGGUUGUUCCAUUGUAAUGGGCAUGAGACGAUAGAACAUCAAGAAAUGGCGCUCACGGUUCUGAACACUAUUCCGUUCUUGCUACAAUCCUCCCUUGAUAAUGACUGGAGCAACUAUUCUUGUUGUUGAUAGACUUGGGAGGAGACCUUUAUUACUUGGAGGUGUUUCUGGGAUGUUUAUCCUUUGGUCCGAUUGGUUGGCUAAUGAUUUCAUAGAUCUUCCCCUUAUGCCUAAGAGGGCGUGGGCUCAGUAUUGCAGUGCUCGUCGAUCUUGGAGUAAAUGCUCUAGACAUUUGCAUUUUCCCCUUUGAAGGCGUCGCUGGGAGCUGGAAUUCGGUUCUAUUUAUUCGGGGCAAUUGCUGUGUCAUCUCUUCUUUUCAUAUAAUUUUUUUGCGGUACCAGAGACAAUGGGGCUUACGUCGGGUUGAGAAAUCCCUGCACAGUUUCAUUCCAUGCUGGGAGAAACCAUUUAUGCUAUUAGUUCAUGGCUGUAACUAAAUAGUAGUGGAUAGCCAUAAGAUAAUAUAGAUGUUUCUGUUCUCUGAUCCUAUCAUAGCGUAGAAGCACCACACUAUCUUCAUGUGCACCAUGACAAGGGGUAGGAAGAUAGUGUUGUUUAGUGUUUACUCAUUUAGCAUUUCUCCCUUUCAAUUUGGUACCACGAGUUGUUAGUUAAGCCAGACUAUACCAUUCGGUACAUGAGAAGGGUUUGAUAUAACAUGUUGGGACAUUGCUUUAAUUUAAAGGUUUGUAAACGAGUUUUAGUUUGGAAAGAUUAUAUUUACCGCUCACUUUCCAAUGUGGGACUCGAACAUCCAAACCAUUGGCUACCUGACCACUCAACUUACACUUGAAUGCACUUGAUGGUAGUGA